rnacentral:rRNA from 1 species
GAUGAACGCUGGCGGCGUGCCUAAUACAUGCAAGUCGAGCGAACGGACGAGAAGCUUGCUUCUCUGAUGUUAGCGGCGGACGGGUGAGUAACACGUGGAUAACCUACCUAUAAGACUGGGAUAACUUCGGGAAACCGUAGCUAAUACCGGAUAAUAUUUUGAACCGCAUGGUUCAAAAGUGAAAAACGGUCUUGCUGUCACUUAUAGAUGGAUCCGCGCUGCAUUAGCUAGUUGGUAAGGUAACGGCUUACCAAGGCAACGAUGCAUAGCCGACCUGAGAGGGUGAUCGGCCACACUGGAACUGAGACACGGUCCAGACUCCUACGGGAGGCAGCAGUAGGGAAUCUUCCGCAAUGGGCGAAAGCCUGACGGAGCAACGCCGCGUGAGUGAUGAAGGUCUUCGGAUCGUAAAACUCUGUUAUUAGGGAAGAACAUAUGUGUAAGUAACUGUGCACAUCUUGACGGUACCUAAUCAGAAAGCCACGGCUAACUACGU